UUAGGACAAUGAAAUCAUGUCAACAAUCGAAUCCUACAUCCAUCAAAGUCCAGAUUGAGAGAACAGAAAAGUCUUAACGAAAAUCAAAACACACACAAAGAAAAGUAAGGGUGAAGACGAAAGAUCAAUUCGCCAUAAUUUGGGAGAGAGAGAGAGAUAGCGAGAUAGAGAGGUCAUCCUCUGUUCGAUCAAUUAGUACAACUAGGCUGAUAACUGAAACCCUAACUUGAUUCGUAAUCCUGACAUAUGAUAACGAUAUGAUGAUGAUGAAGACCUGAUUGCGGCGAUUUUCUGUCCUACGACUCUGCUCUUUCAAUUUCAGUCCGACCCCAUUGAAGAUCGUAGACAUGGAUAGAGAUCUUCCUCCAAUAAGUCGAUUCAUCCUCCCAAAAUAAAGAUUGCAAAUUGUAACACCCUAACUUGAUUUGUAAUCACUAAUAAUAAUGAAGAAGAAGAAGAGACCAGGAUUCAUAUCUGUCCGAAUUUCAAUCAGAUAACUACGAUGGCGCGAGAUGAUGAUGUGAAGACUUGCGACAUUCUGGCCUACGAUUCUGUUCUUCCAAUUUCAGUUUCGACUCUCCAAUUGAAGAAACAGAGACAUAGAUCUCCUCCAUUGUCGAUUCUCUAACUUGCUUUAUAAUGUGAAGACAAGAAUAAGAGAAGAUGAAGAUGAACUGACCAUAAUUCACAUCUUCCAACGUCAAUUAGGCGCUUGAAGAGCGAAAGAAGUUUCUCAAUCGAUGGAAGAUUAAUCUAUAUUGACAAACAUACUCCCUAACUAUCAGUGGAGAGACCAUGAGAAACUUGGGAGGCGUUCUGGGUGUGGUGUGGGGUGGGUGAGAGAGAGAGGAAGAGCAGAGAGUGUGCAUAACAGGUGGGUGGGAAGAAAUUGUGCCGUUUAUAUUUUGAAUAGGAAAAAGAGGGAAAAGGAAAUAAAUAAGUCCUACUCUUUCUUUAUUUUCGUUUUCGUUGGUCUCAAGACGCUAGCAUACACCACGCACACAAAUAUAGCUUUUAGGAUCCGUUUGAUUGGAAGAUAGCCGUAACUUUUUUUCUUGGAUAACUCUCUCUACUAUUUGGCGUUUGGAUGGCUUAAAACGUCUCGAAUAAUUUUUCCUCUAGCAGACGGAUAGAUGACUCUCACCUUAACCAAAAAUUAUCCGAACAGAUAGAGGCGUAUAUUUAUCUAUAUCUAUCUAUAUUAUAUGUAUGAAUAUCUUUAUAUUAGAUAUUUAUAUAUGUAUAUAUAUGUAUAUAUUUAUUUUUUAUAUCUAAAUAUUUUAUAUUUUUCUUCCUUAUUCCCCACCAUUGUUCACCCAUUCUAAAAAGUAUCCAAAUAAAAUUAAAAGUUAUCCCUUCAAAAAGUUAUUACCCUCUUAAAAAUUUAUCCCUGUAAUAUUAUCUGACAGUCAAACGACCCUGUUAGAGUUUUCAAUGGUCUCACCACGCCUCCGAAUUAACCCCACCUGCAUUGGUCGAACCAAAAACCCUAAAAUACCAGCCAAACCACAUGUCCAAAUCCGCCCGCCCCACGCCCCGUAUGUCCCCCACCGCCAAAUAUCUCGUCAUCCUCCGCCCCCAUCUGAUACCCCAGAGAAAUUGGCAAUUCUUCUUAUCACAAUUGUAUCCUCGAGUAGAAUUACCACAAAGAUAGAACCCUAAAGCUUUGCAAUUCACUAAGCCUCCACCCGCGCGACUGUGACCAUGUAUCCCCCACCAUCCCAUCGUCAGUCACCUAAAUUCCACGAACAACCACCACAAACCAUCUUUAGAUCCUCCCCCACCUUUCAUUGUCACCGUUUUACCCCAAACAAAUCCUAACCCAACCCAUCGGGCCUAUCUCCUUUUUCCUCCAUUCGCACUAAUUAUAAACAAUUAGGGCCCGUGGAUGGAGGAUUUUGGAAAGGGAUAAUUUUUCCCUCCGCGAUAACUUUUUUCGAGGGUUUGGACUAGGGAUAUGCCUCCGAUAAUUAUGCCACGGAGUGGAUAUUUUGGCGGACCUAGGCCCAUAACUAAAAAGUUUCCGGGAUAAGGGGUGGGGAUAAGAAAAAAAAAUAUAAGAGAAAACAAAAUGUAUAAAUUGUAUAUACUAACGUUAUAUAUAAAUAAACAAAAAUUUUUAAUAUAUAAAAUUUUAUUUUGUUUCUCUAUAUAUAUUUUCUUCCUAUUCCACCCAUUCUAAAAAGUAUCCAAACAACGUUAUAAAAGUUAUCCCUCGAAAACUUUUAAUCCUCCCUCUAAAAUUUAUCCCCCUUCCAUAUCCUCCAGCCAAACGGACCCUUAGGGACAAAUAUUUUGUAUCAUGUAUUGAUAAACAUUACUCACACAUAGUGGGGGGUCAUAUUAUGCAUUGUACAAAAUACGUUCGUCGUACUACAUUUGACAAUACCUACUCACAUGUGAGGGAGUACAUAUAUGUUGUUCAAAAUUGUAUUAUCUAUAACAUGCUCUCAUUAUAAUUAGUGGGGUCAAAAGGAAUUGAAGAUAAAAUUUUGACACCAAAGGGAUAUUUGGACACCCAAAACAUUUAUUAUUUUCUUCUAUUUCCUUGAAAUACAAACUGAAAAGAACGCUUCUAUUCUUAAUUUGUUUUCAUUUCUUUGUGAAAUGAAACCAAAAAAACAAAAAACAGCUUUUUUUUGGUAAUUCUCUGUCAUUUUCUGGUUCUUUUUCACAAGUUCCAAAAAAACAAUUCCAAGUAUUUAAUUUAUAAAAAUAAAUUUUAUAUUUCUCUAUCACUUUUUUGGUUUCAUUGCGGAAAAAUAAAAAUAAAUAUGGACAUAAAUAAGAAAUCAACAUGGCAAAUAUAAGAGCACCAUGCUUCGAUUUUCAAGUAUCGAGUCACAACGUUCAAACCAAUUUUUUUAACGUUCGUUCCAUAAUCAAAAGAAAUAAUAUUCAUAGUUUAAUCGCUGCAAUACAAAGAAUAUUGCAAAAACAAACCAAAAACAAGCAGACAAUACCCAAUGUGAUAUUGUAAUUAUUAAGAACAUAAAAAACAAAUGUUUCUAAAAUUUAAGAUUAAAACCCCCCAAAAAUAUUACACGUAUUAGUUAUGCAUUACUCAACUUUUUCACAGUUGGAUUAUAUACUCAAGUGUAAGAGGUUCACAAAGUGUUAGCAAAUUUAAUUAGAGACUUAAUUUAUUGUGAUGUUAACUUAAUAAGUAAAGUGUGGUAAAAAAGGCUUAAAAAAUAACUUUUAAUGAUACUAAAAAAUUUUUUUCAAAUUUUACUAUUUGUACAAGUACUAAGUGUAUGGUUCUAAUUGUAGGAUUAGAAUUUAGGCGGUGUACAAGUGCUUAAAUUUAAGUGGCAAAAUCUGUAAAAACACAUUUUGUAAGUGAAAAAUCUCCAAAGUACCCUAUGAUACCCCGACCCAUGAAUCGGCAAUUAAAUUAAUGAUUUCGUUAAUUUAUUAUAUUUGAAGGUAACUCAUAUUGCUUCGUGGUAAAAUUUUUCUGUAUUUAGAUGAAUUAAUAGGUAAGUGUAAAACUGCCACAUCAUGCAUGGGUGAGGUGUCAUGUGUAAGAAUAAAACUGUUCAUUAUAAGUGAAUGCUAGCAACAACUUCACAAGGAAACAAAAGCAAAACAGGCCAGAAAAGAGGAAAAAGGACAUAAGAAAGAAAAAGAGAAAAAGAGAGAAAGGAAAGAAAGAAGUCAAGAAAUAAGAGGAAACUGAGAAGAUGAGAGCUAUCAGGAGUGAAGAACAAAAGAGAAAAGAAGAAAUUAAGAAGACAAAGAAAAAGAAAAUAGCGAAGGACUCGAUACCGGGGAAAAAAAUCGAACCUAUUUUUUUAUCACGGUAAUUUUAAUUCUCACUUCAUUUCUUUGAUUUUUUCUUCUAUUUUGAGACUCAUUAUUGCUUUCAUUUCUAGUAGCAAUUUAACCCUCCAAAUAUUCCUAAAAAAACGCAUUAUACAUUUUUGUAAAAAAAUCAAUAUAAAAUAGGGCACAUCUGUGUUUCCACCUUUGGAUCGCAGUUAUAUUGCAACCAUAUUUUUUCAUAGAUAUCCAAAUUAUUCAAUUCUAGUUGCAUUGGAAAGAUAUUUUAAAUCAUCUACAACUUUUUAUUUUAGAACGUUUUUUCCAAUUCUAACUUUAGAUGAAACCCAAAUCAGCCUGGCAAGUAAAUCCAAAGAACCAUUCUGCUCUGUUUUGCUUGAACCGGUUGAACCUCAAGUUGAACCAGUUAGGCUUAAGAAACUUCAACACUUGACUUCUAAUCAUUUCGUAUUGCAUUCUCUCCCUUCUAACUUUACAUAUAUAUUAUUUUUUGACCUAUUAAUUCGUUUCGACCCCAUUAGCCAAACUAUAAUUAAAUUUAAUAAAAAAUAUAUUAAAAAAAUAAUUUAGAGUUCUAAUGUAGAACGGAACUUUGCGAAUGUUCUGAAUAUUUUCCCACUCUCCAUGGCUUAUAAGAUAUGUCGCCCGAUCUAACUCAUGUAUUAGAACGACCCCUAAUUGAAUUGGAGACGAUAUGUAAUAUGAUGAACGACACCACCCAUGCGGAUCAUGGAUACCAAAAUAUAAUAUCUUUGGCACUUCAACCCUAUUUAUUUUAUAUUAUGCUUUCCGCAAAUUUGACUACAUAUGAGUAUUUUUUGUAUAGGUUAAAAAAUCUAUAAACUAAUACAUUGUGGUAGGCCUUAUUGAGUAAUCUCACUGGCCUUUCUGACUCAUAUACUAAUAUCUUGGUGGUCCAUACAUAUAAAUUGGAUUAGGUUGGCUCAUUACAUACCCUUGGCUUGGUAAAGUGUUUUUACUUUUUGGGUUUUUUUUUUUGUCCUUCUCUUUAUGACAAUAAUUAUUGUUGAGAAUAAUAAUAUAUCUAAUAAUAAUCAUAAUAAUAAUAAUAUCCUUAACAAAACAAGCACAUAUUAGCUUACAAAAUCCUUAACAACAAAAAAAUAUAAUAGAAGACACAAUAAACACACAUAUUUGGUAUAAUGGGUAAAAUAGUCCUUUUUGUGCUUGUUUGUAUUGGCUUUCGUAUUAAG
rnacentral:lncRNA from 1 species